rnacentral:sRNA from 1 species
UCUCGCAGCGCUCGAGGCGCACGGUGGGG